AUGAUGUUGAACCGUCAAUACCGCAACCUCAAGCAGGGGGAUCUCUCCAUCGCCGAGUAUGCCCGCCGCAUGAAGCUUCUCACCGUCGGGCUGGCCAACAUCGAGCACGCCGUCACUGAGGUGGAUCUCACCACUCAGUUUCUUCACGGCAUCGACAAACGUCUCGACACCAUCCGCGUCGUGCUCGGGGACACGGUUCCUCUGCCGCCGUUCGAGACGGUGUUCUCUCGCAUGAAGCUCGCCGUGGAGAAUCUCGCCCAGCGCGUGGCUGAUGAGCCGGCCACGAUUCUCGCUGUCACCGGGAGCGGCGGCCCCUCCAGUAGCUCUUCUGGAUUCGGCGGCUCCGGUCCUCGCCCCGUCGACCGCGCUGAUCGCUCCAAUAAUCGGGGCCCCACC
rnacentral:rRNA from 1 species